rnacentral:lncRNA from 1 species
AAUGAUAUACUUAUUGUUCAGGCAGUUAUGCACAAAUUAAUUAACUAGUCAUGCAAAAAAGAUAUAGUAUUCAUCAAGCCCAAUUUCAUGUUCUGCCACCUAACUUUUCAAUUGGAUCAACAAUUCACUGGGUGGUACAUCCCUUCAGGCAUGGUCAAUAUCAAAAUUCGUCACAAUAUUCUGCAGUGAUCACACUCAGCUCUUCGACUUUCGUGAGAUUAUCUCACUUUUUCCUGCUUGAGCUUUGAUUUGGUUUCCCAAUGUCUCCCAUUCCAACUUCCAUCCGCUAGUCGAUAGUCACUUUUGUAACAAUUUUAUGGCUGUGAUAUAGUAGUUCUCCCAUCUUGUUUCCAUUGAUUU